rnacentral:rRNA from 1 species
AACGAACGCUGGCGGCAGGCUUAACACAUGCAAGUCUAACGGGUGUAGCAAUACACCAGUGGCGCACGGGUGAGUAACGCGUGGGAACGUGCCCUUCAGUACGGAACAACCUCGGGAAACUGAGGCUAAUACCGUAUAAUGUCUUCGGACCAAAGAUUUAUCGCUGAAGGAUCGGGCCGGGUUGGAUUAGGUAGUUGGUGAGGUAACGGCUCACCAAGCCGACGAUCCAUAGCUGGUCUGAGAGGAUGAUCAGCCACACUGGGACUGAGACACGGCCCAGACUCCUACGGGAGGCAGCAGUGAGGAAUAUUGGACAAUGGAGGAAACUCUGAUCCAGCCAUGCCGCGUGAGUGAAGAAGGCCUUCGGGUUGUAAAGCUCUUUUACCCCUGACGAUAAUGACGGUAAGGGGAGAAAAAGCCACGGCUAACUUCGUGCCAGCCGCCGCCGUAAUAC